AUAACCGUAGUAAUUCGUAGGCUAAGUACGUGCGAAGCGCCGAGCCGCGAGGCGACGGCGUUCUCGCCGGAUGUAGGAACCGACCCGGGGACCGCCGGGGCAACCCGGCGCCCCCGAGACGGGGCGAACCACGGUGAAAUGACGGAUCGUCGGCCCCGCGCCGGCGACUCGCCGAAUGAGUUUCUGACCUAUCAACUCGAGACGGCGGGGUAGAGGCCCGCCGCGGUAACGACGGGUAACGGGGAAUCAGGGUUCGAUUCCGGAGAGGGAGCCCGAGAAACGGCUACCACUUCCAAGGAAGGCAGCAGGCGCGCAACUUACCCUAAUCUCGAUUCGAGGAGGUAGUGACAAGAAAUACCGAUGCGGGACCCUACGGGUGCCGCGUUCGGAAUGAGUACGAUUCGAACCACCUAACGAGGAACGAUCGGAGGGCAAGUCUGGUGCCAGCAGCCGCGGUAAUUCCAGCUCC
rnacentral:rRNA from 1 species